AUUGAACGCUGGCGGCAGGCCUAGCACAUGCAAGUCGAGCGGAUGAAGGGAGCUUGCUCCUGGAUUCAGCGGCGAACGGGUGAGUAAUGCCUAGGAAUCUGCCUGGUAGUGGGGGAUAACGUCCGGAAACGGGCGCUAAUACCGCAUACGUCCUGAGGGAGAAAGUGGGGGAUCUUCGGACCUCACGCUAUCAGAUGAGCCUAGGUCGGAUUAGCUAGUUGGUGGGGUAAAGGCCUACCAAGGCGACGAUCCGUAACUGGUCUGAGAGGAUGAUCAGUCACACUGGAACUGAGACACGGUCCAGACUCCUACGGGAGGCAGCAGUGGGGAAUAUUGGACAAUGGGCGAAAGCCUGAUCCAGCCAUGCCGCGUGUGUGAAGAAGGUCUUCGGAUUGUAAAGCACUUUAAGUUGGGAGGAAGGGCAGUAAGUUAAUACCCUGCUGUUUUGACGUUACCAACAGAAUAAGCACCGGCUAACUUCGUG
rnacentral:rRNA from 1 species